rnacentral:ncRNA from 1 species
CAACCCGGAUCGAGAGGUUCGGCUGAACCGGCAGGAGUCAGCAGAGGGCAUAGUACUCCGGGGAUCAUGAACCUGAGAGGAAGGCC